UAUAAAGCCUGUGUUCAAAACUUAUGUUCUG
rnacentral:piRNA from 1 species